AUACUUACCUGGCAGGGGAGAGACCAUGAUCAUGAAGGCGGUUCUCCCAGGAUGAAGCUAUCCCAUUGCACUUCGGGUGUGCUGAGACCUGCCAUGUUCCCAAAUGCGGGAUACCCGACUGCAACAUUUUUUAAAAAUGAAAUCUAUUACAUAUAAUUGUUCAGU